CAACGGCCAACGCACCUUAAAUCGCCGAUUUACUGGACUCUCGCGCGAACUUACCUUAUCUUUCUACCUUAUAAGGAAGUCGCAGAACCGAGCUCGUCGGCGCAAACGAACACCUUGCUUCUGAACAGAAUUUCGAGGAAGGGUCUCUAACGCAGGACGUUCAUUCCCAGGCCCUUGCUGAUGGGCCAAAAUUCCUCUUUUUUUCAUCGGGGUCCAGGACGAGGCCGUAUUAGGAAACCUGCAGUCAUUGUGCGCGCCACGCUGAACAACGACGUCGGCGACGACGACGCUUGGAAAAAUCCUGCUCACCUCUUCAUCGUCAAAUUCGAUUGCUCUUUGUCCGUGUCCCUUUCAGAAAGUAACACAAUAGAUUCAGGUGUUCCAAACAGGUGGGCUCCAACGACGAAAAUUCACUGAAGAUUCCCCCUUCUGGAAGAUGGGAGCUCGAAGAAGAGGAUCGUUCCACGGCCACGACCACAUCUUGACCGCGGAUAAAAAGUCUU